ACUGCCAUAGCUCAGUGGAAACAGCAUCUGCCUUGCAUGCAGAAGGUGCCAGGUUCAAUCCCUACCCACUUUAGGUAGAG